rnacentral:lncRNA from 13 species
AUGCAGCGGCCUGGGAACGGGCCGGGAGACAAUGCCCCGGCGGUGCCACCGUGUCACCCCCGACCCUCCUGCAGGAGGAGGGGACGCGUGCCCGGGGGGGGUGAGCACCCGGGGGUCCCCCUCGUGUCACCCUGCUCUGUCCUGCCUGGGACUGGCAUCCCUCGGGAGCCCUGGCUCCAGGUGCCGUGUCCUGCUGCAUCCUGUGUCCCAUGUCCUCCAGCAUUCCUUGUCCUGCCGUACCCCGUAUCCUCAGCAUCCCAUAUCCUGCAGGGACCCUUUGCAACUGGGUCAGGGUCCUGCAGAGACCCUGGGGGUCCCUCUUGGCUCCUGUUGCCACCCUGCUCUGUCCUGCCUGGCACUGGCAGCCCCUGGGUGCCCUGGCUCCAGGUGCUGUGUCCUCCUGCAUCCAUGUCCUGCUGCAUCCAUGUCCCAGCUGGCUCAGGGCCCUGCAGAGCUGCUGCCACCCAGCUGUGUCCUGCCUGGGAGCCACAAUGUCCCUGCUUCCGGGGCCGUGUCGUGCUGCAUCCCGUAUCCUAUAUCCAUGUCCUGCUGCAUCCCGUGUCCUGCUUCUUCCCAUGUCCUGCUGCAUCCUCUAUCCUACGUCCGUGUCCUGCUACAUCCAUAGCCUGCUUCUUCCCAUGCAUGUUCUGCUACAUCCCAUAUUCUGCUACAUCCCACAUGCUACAUCCCAUAUCCUGCUUCAUCCCGUGUCCUGCUGCAUCCCAUAUCCUAUAUCCAUGUCCUGCUGCAUCCCGUGUCCUGCUGCNGAGAUCGGGAGGAUUUUGGGGAAAUCCACCCAAAUUUCGCUCCAUGCAGGGAGCUCCCGGCUCCAGCAGCUGCUGGUGCACCUGGAGAGGAGGAAAACCUUUCCUUCCUGCUUUGGCAUCCUGUUAUCCCAGGGUGAGGAUCCCUCUGGGAAUGCCCAGGGCUCGCUGGGCCCCAUUUGUGAAGGACACCCUGGUCAGGGGGCUGCUGCUCCUCCGUCCAUUCCCAAAUGACCGGGAAUGUCCCAGACACCCCGAGCCCAUUCAGGAUGAUCCCCAUCCCUAUGGACUGCAAUUCCUGCUGUUCCUGGUGCCUGGGAGUGUCCUAUGGACUGCAAUUCCUGCUGUUCCUGGUGCCUGGGAAUGUCCCGACACCCCAGGCCCGUUGCAGGGUGGUUCCCAUCCCCAGGCUCCGAGUCCCGCCGCUCUCCCACCUGGAAAGGGCCGGGCAGAGGGAGCGGAGCCGGAGCGCAGGGAAGCAGCAGAGGGUUUAAGCGAGGGCCAUUCUCUCCCGUGA